rnacentral:tRNA from 1 species
GCCGCUAUGGUGAAAUUGGUAGACACGCUGCUCUUAGGAAGCAGUGCGAGAGCAUCCCGGUUCGAGUCCGAGUGGCGGCA